rnacentral:tRNA from 1 species
GCCUGGGUGGCUCAGUCGGUUGAGCGUCCGACUUCGGCUCGGGUCAUGAUCUCACGGUUCGUGGGUUCGAGCCCCGCGUCGGGCU